rnacentral:rRNA from 1 species
UACGUAGGGACCAAGCGUUGUUCGGAUUUACUGGGCGUAAAGGGCGCGUAGGCGGCGUGACAAGUCACUUGUGAAAUCUCCGGGCUUAACUCGGAGCGGUCAAGUGAUACUGUCGUGCUAGAGUGCGGAAGGGGCUACUGGAAUUCUCGGUGUAGCGGUGAAAUGCGUAGAUAUCGAGAGGAACACCUGCGGCGAAGGCGGGUAGCUGGGCCGACACUGACGCUGAUGCGCGAAAGCCAGGGGAGCGAACGGG